rnacentral:rRNA from 1 species
UACGUAGGGUCCGAGCGUUGUCCGGAAUUACUGGGCGUAAAGAGCUCGUAGGUGGUUUUGUCGCGUUGUCCGUGAAAAACUCACAGCUUAACUGUGGGCGUGCGGGCGAUACGGGCAGACUGGAGUACUGCAGGGGAGACUGGAAUUCCUGGUGUAGCGGUGAAAUGCGCAGAUAUCAGGAGGAACACCGGUGGCGAAGGCGGAUCUCUGGGCCUGAUCUGACGCUGAGGAGCGAAAGCGUGGGGAGCGAACAGG